rnacentral:rRNA from 1 species
UACGUAGGGUGCGAGCGUUAAUCGGAAUUACUGGGCGUAAAGCGUGCGCAGGCGGUGAUGUAAGACAGAUGUGAAAUCCCCGGGCUCAACCUGGGAACUGCAUUUGUGACUGCAUCGCUGGAGUGCGGCAGAGGGGGAUGGAAUUCCGCGUGUAGCAGUGAAAUGCGUAGAUAUGCGGAGGAACACCGAUGGCGAAGGCAAUCCCCUGG